GAAACCCGGAAUUGAAUGGGUUUAGUGAGGCCUUCUGACUGGCGCCGCUACUCUGGCAACAGAGCGGCGGAUGCCGGGAAGUUGGUCAAACUUGAUCAUUUAGAGGAAGUAAAAGUCGUAACAAGGUUUCCGUAGGUGAACCUGCGGAAGGAUCAUUACCGAUGUGAAAAAAUCCAAGGUUAAACAUCAUUAACCAGGGGGAAUGGGGAAACACUUCUUUAGGGGUCGGCACAGGCGGGGGCCGUUAAAGGGGGAAAAGGUCCCUUCCGCCGGCCCCGCCUUGGGGUUUAUAAUAUCCCUUUGAAGGUUAAAAACGGAAAACUAUGUAUCAUGCGUUAAAUGUAUGAGAAAGAAAGAAAGAAAAAUGAGAGACAACUUUUGACGGUGGAUCUCUUGGCUCACGUAUCGAUGAAGAACGCAGCCAGCUGCGAUAUGUAGUGUGAAUUGCAGAAUUCAGUGAAUCAUUGAAUCUUUGAACGCAAAUGGCGCUCUUGGGUUCUCCCAGGAGCAUGUCUGUCUGAGUGUCGGAUUUUAUCGAACGCACUCGUGACUGCGGUAUUGAAUGGUCGCGGCAUGGAAGCGACCCUUAAAUCUACGUGUCCCUUGAAGGACAUGACCCUUGGACUCGAAUUCCCUAUUGAAACUUGUCUGCAAUGGAAAAAGAUAAUAUUUUCCUUCGACCAAACAUGCCUUAGCCCAAACAUGAUCCAAUCGAAACGGAGACCGACCAUAAACAUCAAAUCUAGACCUCAAAUCUGGCCUGGCUACCCGCUAAGUUUACCCCUAUAUUUAAGCGUAGGAAUAAACAGAAGAAAGGAAUCCCAUAAUGACUGCCAUUGAAACGGGAUAGAUCAAAUUUAUAAAUCUCCUAUGCUUGCUCCGACGCAUUGUAUUUGCCAAUAGUAACUUUCAAAACGAAUCUCUCGUGCCAAAGUUCGUGGCAAAGUACCUUCAUAGAGGGUGACAUCCCGGUGUGGCUCCGCCGGCCGCUCGGACGGGCUUUCCAAAGGGCUGUCGAUAGGAUGUCCCCGAAACAGCCGGACUAACAAAAAGACUU
rnacentral:rRNA from 1 species